rnacentral:rRNA from 1 species
AUUGAACGCUGGCGGCAGGCCUAACACAUGCCAGUCGAGCGGAUGAAGGGAGCUUGCUCCUGGAUUCAGCGGCGGACGGGUGAGUAAUGCCUAGGAAUCUGCCUGGUAGUGGGGGAUAGCGUCCGGAAACGGGCGCUAAUACCGCAUACGUCCUGAGGGAGAAAGUGGGGGAUCUUCGGACCUCACGCUAUCAGAUGAGCCUAGGUCGGAUUAGCUAGUUGGUGGGGUAAAGGCCUACCAAGGCGACGAUCCGUAACUGGUCUGAGAGGAUGAUCAGUCACACUGGAACUGAGACACGGUCCAGACUCCUACGGGAGGCAGCAGUGGGGAAUAUUGGACAAUGGGCGAAAGCCUGAUCCAGCCAUGCCGCGUGUGUGAAGAAGGUCUUCGGAUUGUAAAGCACUUUAAGUUGGGAGGAAGGGCAGUAAGUUAAUACCUUGCUGUUUUGACGUUACCAACAGAAUAAGCACCGGCUAACUUCGUG